AGCGGCGGACGGGUGAGUAACGCGUGGGUAACCUGCCUCAUACAGGGGGAUAACAGUUAGAAAUGACUGCUAAUACCGCAUAAGCACACAGAACCGCAUGGUUCGGGGUGAAAAGCCGAGACGGUAUGAGAUGGACCCGCGUCUGAUUAGCUAGUUGGAGGGGUAACGGCCCACCAAGGCAACGAUCAGUAGCCGACCUGAGAGGGUGACCGGCCACAUUGGGACUGAGACACGGCCCAAACUCCUACGGAAGGCAGCAG
rnacentral:rRNA from 1 species